ensembl:lncRNA
GUCACGCUUCUGAUGAGUUCCUAUUAUCAGGAAGCAGCUAUAUCAUCCAGGGAAGGAGUUGGGGAGUUGGAGGCAAGUAAAGAAGUAAUUUAAAAAUUAUGUGAAGGAGAACUGGAAGUAAAGGACUGAUAGUGAUAAAUCUGCUGCUAAACCAUGUUUCCAUUGAGGUAAAUUUCAUAUUUAUAAUCUUUAUAAUCAUAUAUUGCCCAUGUAACUUACAAAACUUACAUGGAGAAAAUAAGUUUUAAAACUGUUUCACAAGUUGCAGUACUAUUUUGAGUCCCCCCCUGUUUUUUUUAACCACAUGUGCAAUGAGAAGCUGAAAUAGUUAAUUGCCUGUCAAUCCAAACACCUGGUUGCUAUGCUAUCCUUGUGGACUGUCCUCCCCCUCCCGCUCUUCUGGAGGCAUUUCCACCUAUUCUCCUGUUGAUAUACUUUACAUCAUUGUGAAUAAUAGGUGAAUUACAGGUAUACAAAACCAGAUGGUCCAUUACUUGAAAGAAUUCCAAACACUGAUAUUUGUUACAAAAGAAUAUUUGACCACUGAUGUAAAAAACCAAUAAAAGAAUUCUAGAGGGCCGCCUGGGAAUUCAUUGCUGCCAGGCACUUCACUUUCUCUUGUGAAAGCAAUAAAUCUUUUUAUUUCCUUCUCAAGAAAUAUGCCAAUAAGGGCUGUUUCCGUGUAUGUUCAACCACACCACAGAAUCAUUCAGAACCAUUGUACAUUCACAGGAACAAAUCAUCAUUGCGGACCCCCCUGUUGGGUUGUCAAAUUGAACACAAGUUGUCAAGAACCUGGAAAAUGCAGCUGUCUACAGUGCUCAAGCAUCAGAAACUAACCCAGUCUUAGUUUUUUUUUUUUAAAAAAAAACAAACCAGUCUCCCUCUUUAUAAAAUAUUGCUGUCGAAGUUUUAUGAGGAUAAAUGCCCACCAGGAAGCUGACUCAAGACUGGGCAACACGUAAAAUCAGAAUUAACAAGCCAAUGUCUGAGGACCUUCUAAUAAUCCAUUAAACCAAGAACAACUAAAGUAUGUAGCAAGUUGGGGGAAAUGCACAGAUUUUGCUUUACUCUAAACCUCAGUCAUUUAUUAUUCUUUCUCUGACCCAUUAUCAUCAAUAGAACUACUUGCAGAGUAAAUAUGGCAUGCCGCUUAUUCUAGGAGGAAUGCUAACUGGAUCUACAUAUGCUAAUGUUUUGGUGAACAUGAAAGAGGAUCCUGAUGUACUGUGUUCUCAUCCCUAUUGUAUUCAGUCUCUAUGCACCAGUGCUUAUUCACAGAAAUGCUGUUGGAAAACAAAUUAAAAAAACACAACCCACAAAACCAAGACAAAAAACAAACAAACAAACAAAAAGCACUGAAGGUGAUUAAAAACAUUAACUUAAUGGCACAGAGCUCAAUAGAACGAAAAUGUGCCUAAAUUUUAUAUUUAUUAGGAUUCAAGAAGGUGAUCACUUGCAUGCCACAAACAACUAUCAGGCUGCAGUCAAAAGGCCAUGCUGAUAACGCUCCUUUCUUCUCCAAAUGAAGGUCUGCUUAGCACACCUAACCCCCUCCUACAGCUGUUCCCCCUCUUGAAUGACCUGUCACAAUGGGCAUCAACAACACUUUGGGAACAACAGAGUGCAGGAUGAAUACAGUGCAGUGGGAGUUGCGCAGAAGUACUCUAGGGAUCUGUCCCUGUAAUGAAGUCCUGGUCAAAUGAGAUAACAGGUAUUUGUACCUGGUGGAGACCCUUGGAGGAAAAAUAGAAGGCAAACGAGCCAUACAGACAAGCAAAUGACUUCAGUAACAACAAGUUUACAAACGCCACAAUUUUUUAAAAUCAUACACUGUGAAGAAUGUUCAUUAAAACUGGAGACAUAAACUAAACUUCUUUUAAAAAAUUACUUUUGUUAUGCAUUGAACCAACUGCCUUGACUUUAAGACAUCUGAAUACGAGAAACAUUUUCUCCAAGUCUGUGUUAUAUCUGUGACCUUGAAAUUGGAUUCUCAGGCAGCAACAACAGCAGCAACCCAUGUGAAAGAGGAAUAAUAGACAAAUCCCACAAAGAUUUGCUGCUGUAUCUGAGCUCUGAAAACCAGCAUCUCACGUCAUCUAAUGGAGUAGUUGGCACUCUUUAUAGAAUCAGAUCCUUUCGUGGGAAGCCGUGGCCUGCAGACAGAUUCAGCUACUGUCAGAACACAGCUCUCGAGCUCACUGUUUAGUUUCUUUUAGUAAGUGUGGUCUGUGAUAGUCUUUAGGAACAAUAUCCCAACCUGAGUACUUCACAGCUCAUAGAAGCCACUACCUCUUUGGAGCCUGGAACUGUCCAUGGUCUAAUCACUAGUCGAUUCUGUUUUCAACUCCCCUGCUUUACUCGUCCACUACAUAUUUCCUUACAAGUGUAGGGUGUGCCAGUUCUUAAAACUGCUCCAUAUAGCUGAAAUUAGAUCAGUCCUUUACAGACACUUCUCACUAUAUGUUCUUGGUAAAAAAUAAAGGUUAUGUUACCAAAUAUCA